UUUUUGUUAGAAAAAAUGAAGAGAUAGACUAGCUGAAUAUAAUAAUUUGUUGAAAUAUGAGAGGAAGAAAUAAGAGAGACUAAUUAUGAAAUUCAAGUUUUGAUUUGUGGUUGAUGCUAGAAGCUUUCAAGUACAUGGGUAUUUAUAGGUACUAGUACUACUACUACUACCUAUCACGGUAUUAAAGCUUAAUAAAUAAUUAAACGGUAUUUUGUGACUUUAUAGAUGUAUAAUUGAUUAAGGUUGCCAAUGGAGCCCGAGUCUGAUACAUUGUUGGUCAGUUGUUGUUUGAUCUAAUUUUCAGUAUUAAAUGCAGUAUGAUGUUUGAUGUAAUUAUGUUAUGGUCUCGUAUGCAUGAAUCAUGAUUUCUUUUAUUAUGGUUUGUAUUAUGGUGAACCUGAUACUGUGUUGCCUUGUUUGGUGUCAAUUACUGGUUUACAUGUUGUGUAUGAUUGGAUGAUUGAGAUUAAGAAAAAAGGUAAAAAGGUUAUGUGAAUUGAUAAGUGAAAAAUGUGGACAGCCUGACUAGAUAUCCUGGGAGAUGGUGGACGGCCCUGGAAUCAGGUUAUUGAUGUUAAUGGUUCACGGAUAGUGGGGACCCCCUAUGGAUCCCCAUGGAUACUAGUAGGCUGGUAAAUGAGGAAAAUAUGUUGUUUAAUGAUUGAAAUACAAAGGCGUGGUAAGUGUUAUGUUAUAACGUCUAUAUGAUUUCAUGAUGAUGAUAAUGUUAUUGCUUUCAUAUGUUGUUUUCAUGGAUCUCACCGAGGUAAGUGGACAGUAAAGGUUUUUAUGUUAAUAAACGAGUUUGUUAUAAAUUAUGCUCCAUCGGUCAUUUUUGUUUUCUACCCACCUUUACUUCCGUGGCGGUGAGAUAGUGUGAUGUCUUUACUGGGCUGGUGCAGCUCAUUCCUU
rnacentral:lncRNA from 1 species